AAUAGAGCCAGUCCCUUAGUGGUGACGUCACUUCCACCAAGACCAACUAUUUCUGCACGACUUCCAAAAGUUCGUGUGCUUCUGAACUUCGAGUCUGCUUUGCAGAAGGCUGGCAGCACAGGCAUGGAUGAAAUGGGAAAUAAGGCAUGAAGUAAGAAAGGAGGGGAGCAUCCAGCCUCAGAUUCCAUUAAGGAAGGUGCUGCACCUUUUCUAAGUGUCAAUUGUUUUUGUGUCUUCUGAAGUAUAGAUGAUGUUUGAAUUCAAAGUAUUAAGUCCUGUGCCUGCUGUGUUAAAUUAUGGUCUGUGAGCUACAGGGUGGGGUAAUCAAUGGAAAUACACACUGACAGUGUGUGAUGUGCGUGCCCUUAGCAGCAGGGACGCUGUACCUCCCUGUUCUGUCCCCUCAGCAGGUUAAAUAAAUAUGACAGAGUAAGUGAAUGCACUAGAUUAUAUGAUAUCAUUGCGGAGUUGCCCACUGUGAGCGCCACUGACAGAACUAGCUUCAAAUGACCUAACCCCCCCAUACAAAUACAUACCCCAAAAUACCGAUAGGUAAAAGAAAAACAUAGCUCUGUAAAUUGAAAAUAUGAAUCACUGUGAUCAUGGGACAAUUGAUCUAAAGAAGAUACAUUGAGUGAAUCAUUUUCUGGUUUGCCUCCAGCCUGGAUUAUUAAAUCAAAUGGAAACAUAGAGGAUCAGCCUGCUGUUUAUUGUUUGUCAUACAAAGCUAAUGUAUACUUGUUUUCUUGAGAAAUUAAACAUACAAAGUCUUAAAA